ACUACAUCAUGGCAUUGGUUUUAAUUAUUUCCACUUACUUUGCUUGGAUACAAGACAUCUUCAUCCAGCCAAGGAAACAACAGACUGAUAUUAAACCUAAUUUACAGCUGAUUUUUUCAAAGUACUAAUUUCUUGCCAAAACAUGGAACAAAAUAUGGGCAUGUGCUUCCAUCCAGUCAAGAAGUGGCGCUAGAAACCAUUUUUGUUAGACAAAUCACUGAAUUGGCACUGCAAUUUAUAUAUCAUUUAAAGCUCUAUGUGUGCGUGUGCGUAGAGCUCAGAAGCAUCAAGGUAGUAAACAUAUUAAGUAAUACAAUAAAGAUCUCUAAAAAGAAAAAAAGAAUAAAGAGAUGAAUGGUAACAAUGGGAACAGGGAAAAUGGUAUUUUGAUGCAAGUAGGGUGCUUAGACUUGUGCUUCUUGUUAGGUUUGAGCUGUGAUCUGACUUCCAAACAAUUCAAAUAGCAAAAGAAGGGAGGAGCACAGUGUAAAGCAAGUUUAAAAUCAGUGGUUGAGCAAACAAUUAAUAUUUCAUGCACGCUGUCUAAACAACGUCACUUUGCUGGCAUGUGAAAUUCAAUUGCUAGCUAGCAUAUGUUAAAAAGCUUGUUUAGAAUUAGUUUUAGUCUUUUUUGAUUAACUGCAUUGUGGUUUUCUUGGUGAUGGUGGCUUUUACUGCUAAAUAAUUGCAGUUGAAACUAAUCAUAUAAAAGAAACAUAAAAGAAAAAUAAGAAGCCAAAGAAAAGGUCUGCCUUUUUCUAAGGUAUUACACCAUUCCCUUUUAAAGAAUACUUGAUCAUAUAUAAACUGGCCAUUUUUUGUUCACUCAACUUAACUCAUAUUCUCUUACCCUGAAAUCUGUUAUUACUUUUGAAUUGGACAGAUCCCUCGUUUUAGUGUACGUCAUUACUUUUUACAGAAAUUCGAAUUUCCAUAUUGGCAUGUAUGUGCUCCCGGAUUGCCCUGUUCCAUUUUCUUCAGCCUUCGCAUUCAGUGAAAAUAGCAAGCUAUUGGUGCCUAUUCCUACUUAUUUGGUUCCUUUUUUUCCAGUAUAUAAUUUCUUUCUUACUGUUUGUUUUCUGUUACAGGAUUAUGAGUAUGCAAGUUACAAUCCUGUUGCAUAUGACAUUGCAAAUCACUUCUGUGAAAUGGUAGCAAAUUAUCAUUCUGAGACACCACAUAUUUUGGACUAUAGCAAAUACCCAGGUUUGGAGGAGCGUCGCAGAUUUGUAUAUGCAUAUCUAAGCGCAUCAGGCAAUAAACCGAGUGAAGACGAAGUGGAACGGCUAGUGGAUGAUGCAGAAAACUACACUCUUGCAAACCAUAUCUUUUGGGGCUUAUGGGGAAUAAUCUCAGGUUAUGUGAACAGUCUUGAUUUUGACUACUUGGAGUAUGCAAGGCAGAGGUUUGAGCAG
rnacentral:misc_RNA from 1 species